rnacentral:lncRNA from 1 species
AAAGAGAGAGACAGAAUGAUGCUGGCUAUGUCUGUUUUCCCAUGUGUUUGCUUUCCCAGAUUUCUCCUUGUUUCAUGGUCUAGAACUGGGUUACAUGACUGUUGUCAGUACAAAGGGUUCUGAAAAAUAUGAAACAUGCGUGUCAUGAUUAGCUUAGACGAAAUGUCACAUCUCUCUUGGGACUUACUAUGCCAUCUCUCCUUAUUUCCGUCCUCCAUCCAGGGUUCUGUUAGUGAUAAAGAGGGAAAAAUAGAUACCAGAUCAGCAGCUAACAUUGUUUAUCCCAAUAACUAUCAUCAUUC